CAGGAAGAAGACUGGAGCACCUCAUUGGAAGGAGAAGUUGGAGGUGUUUCUACUCUGACAGCCACAUACCGUGAGCUGAGAGGAGUCUGGCCAGAGCCACACUUGAUCAGAAAUAGAAGUCCUGACCUUAGCCAGAAGUAACUGGAAGAGUUUGGCCUGGACGUUGCACAAAAAGAACAGCGGUACAGGAAGAUGCCAUGCUAUGAGCUGAACUCUGAAACCGAGCCAGAAGCAUCAAGAGGGAGAGGAGCAACCCUCAAACAUGGAAUCAUUAGGUGGAUUUGCUGGAGAUUUGUGUUGGAAUAAGUUGCAGAAUCGGCCCCUCGAUUUACAAACGUGGC